rnacentral:rRNA from 1 species
UACGUAGGGUGCAAGCGUUGUCCGGAAUUAUUGGGCGUAAAGAGCUCGUAGGCGGUCUGUCGCGUCUGCUGUGAAAACUCGGGGCUUAACCCUGGGCCUGCAGUGGGUACAGGCAGACUAGAGUGCGGUAGGGGAGACUGGAAUUCCUGGUGUAGCGGUGAAAUGCGCAGAUAUCAGGAGGAACACCGGUGGCGAAGGCGGGUCUCUGGGCCGUAACUGGCGCUGAGGAGCGAAAGCAUGGGGAGCGAACAGG